UGCAAAGGUAGCAUAAUCACUAGUUUUUUAAUUGGAAGCUUGAAUGAAAGGUUGGAUGAGGAAACUACUGUCUCAAUUAAAAUUUAUUAGAAUUUUAUUAUUUUGUAAAAAGGCAAAAAUUUAUAUAAAAGACGAGAAGACCCUAUAGAGUUUUAUAGUUUUAGAAGAAAGGGUAAUUAGAAUAUAUUUUUUUAUUUUUUAAAAUUAUUUGGUUGGGGUGAUUGAAAAAUUUGAUUAACUUUUUUUGUAUGAAUACAUAGAUUUAUGAAUAUUUGAUCCUUAAGAAAGAUUAAAAGAAAAAAUU
rnacentral:rRNA from 1 species